rfam:Carnobacterium inhibens subsp. gilichinskyi strain WN1359, complete genome.
AGAGUGUUAUGAUGAUGGGAUCAAUGAAAAUUGGUUUCCAAGUCUAGCUCGAAACUUCUCCUGACUUGAGUUUGCUCAUUCAGGAG